UACGUAGGGUGCGAGCGUUGUCCGGAAUUAUUGGGCGUAAAGAGCUCGUAGGCGGCCUGUCGCGUCGGUUGUGAAAGCCCGGGGCUUAACCCCGGGUCUGCAGUCGAUACGGGCAGGCUAGAGUUCGGUAGGGGAGAUCGGAAUUCCUGGUGUAGCGGUGAAAUGCGUAGAUAUCGAGAGGAACACCUGCGGCGAAGGCGGCGACCUGGGCCAAUACUGACGCUGAGGUGCGAAAGCGUGGGGAGCAAACAGG
rnacentral:rRNA from 1 species